rnacentral:misc_RNA from 1 species
GCAAACUUGGUCAUUUAGAGGAAGUAAAAGUCGUAACAAGGUAACCGUAGGUGAACCUGCGGUUGGAUCAUUACAGAAAAGAUCUGGCCUUUGGCCUUUGUUGGAUCAGUAUAUUUCUCUUUGAGAUUGUCCUGUGAAAACAAUCCCUCAACCUUAUGUGAACUGUAUUGUCUCUGGUGGUUGGGCAGAUUGUUAGCAUUGAUUGUUGCUCUCUGCUUGUCAGCCUGAUGUAAAAAGUCAGGCCGUGGACAUGCCACCAAAGGAUUUGUCAACCUAAUGUCAUCAUAAUCUGUCUAACAUUGUAUUGUACCAAAUGAUACAUACAACUUUUGGCAACGGAUCUCUUGGCUCUCGCAUCGAUGAAGAACGCAGC